AGUGAACGCUGGCGGUAGGCCUAACACAUGCAAGUCGAACGGCAGCACAGGAGAGCUUGCUCUCUGGGUGGCGAGUGGCGGACGGGUGAGGAAUACAUCGGAAUCUACUCUGUCGUGGGGGAUAACGUAGGGAAACUUACGCUAAUACCGCAUACGACCUACGGGUGAAAGCAGGGGAUCUUCGGACCUUGCGCGAUUGAAUGAGCCGAUGUCGGAUUAGCUAGUUGGCGGGGUAAAGGCCCACCAAGGCGACGAUCCGUAGCUGGUCUGAGAGGAUGACCAGCCACCAUGGAACUGAGGCACGGUCCAGACUCCUACGGGAGGCAGCAGUGGGGAAUAUUGGACAAUGGGCGCAAGCCUGAUCCAGCCAUACCGCGUGGGUGAAGAAGGCCUUCGGGUUGUAAAGCCCUUUUGUUGGGAAAGAAAUCCAGCUGGCUAAUACCCGGUUGGGAUGACGGUACCCAAAGAAUAAGCACCGGCUAACUUCGUGCCAGCAGCCGCCGUAA
rnacentral:rRNA from 1 species